GGCGGAAGUGGGAGCGCGGCAAGCGGAUGGAGCCAGCGAGAAACACAUAGCCAGGGUUCUGUCGCAUGACCCCCGACGGCACCUGCUCCCCAUCAGCAGCAUCAUACUCCGGGCCCUUUGCAUCCAGGCUGUGCGCACAUGACCUGGGCUUCUGCUCCUUGAGUCAGAAGUUUGUGAAGAAGUAAAGAUAUCCUGGCAGGGCUGGUGGCAAGGCAGCAGCUCCAUUGGAUCUCCAGAUGGAUAAACUGAGGGCUCAGUGGGUCAUGACCUGCCCAGAGUCAUGGAGGGAGUGAGAGGCAGAGCCAGGAUGAGCUCCCAGGCCCUGAAACUUCUGGGCCAGUGGCCUACACACAGAGCUUCCCACCCUUCCUCAUUGGGUUUCUGCAAGCCCUCCCCACCCCAGCACUCUGCAGGGCCUGGGAAGUGAACCAGCUGGGAGGAUUCUUAGAGAAGAAAAGUGCUGAUUUAAGAGAAACUGCAUUAUUUGUGAAAUACAAAAUUCAUCUUGUGGGUGUAAGAGAUGCCUUCGUGGACGGAUGAAGCUCCUGGUACUAAGUAGCAGGAGUGCAGUGAAGCUGCUGUGUUCUCCAGCUCGUAGUUAAGGGCCAGUCAGGAUCAGACAUCUUGCCCUGAUGGAAAAGAAGAUGAACAGAUACCUCCUGACCUGGAUAGCAAUUAAUUCUGGGGACCUAGAUCCCCAAGGACUUUAGGAUGAGGCAGCAGUUUGGAUUUAGGAUCAACAUGGUAUUUAAAAUAUAAAAGCAUUGUAGUGUUGGGGAAGCAUCAUUUAAAAGAACUUGUGGGGUCCCUGUCAGGCCCCUCUUGAGACAGGCCAGCCCCACAGAAGAGAAGGCCUAGGGCUGGCUCCCUAGGGUUGUGAGAAACUCCAGAACAGUGUUGACUUCUUUCUUCCCCUAGGGUCACACCAGCAUGUAGCAUGAUGCCUUGCACACAGUAGGUGCUCAGUAAACACUUUUGGACCACUGAAUGCAAUGACCAAUGGAUAAAAACAUUGUUCUUCCCUUGACCAGAUAAGACCCGCUUCCCUGGGCGUCCACAGGCCGCUGGUGAUGCACACUCUUCUCUGUGUGGCCUCUGCCUGCCGGGGGAAGCCUUGUGACCAGUUUCUCCCCGCUGAGUCAAGGGAGAAUGAGGGGGAGCAUGAACAUUUGCUUGUUUCCCUUAUGGCUUCUGAAUCUUUAUUUUAUUUUUUUUAAUGAAAAUGUCUACUUGAAUUUAGGUAAGGAAGACCUUGCUCUUAGUUUUUGAAUUUUGAACUAGAAAAAAAAAAAA
ensembl:lncRNA novel transcript